rnacentral:rRNA from 1 species
AACGAACGCUGGCGGCAGGCCUAACACAUGCAAGUCGAGCGAGGACUUCGGUUCUAGCGGCGGACGGGUGAGUAACGCGUGGGAAUGUGCCCUUCUCUACGGAAUAGCCCUGGGAAACUGGGAGUAAUACCGUAUACGCCCUAUUGGGGAAAGAUUUAUCGGAGAAGGAUCAGCCCGCGUUGGAUUAGGUAGUUGGUGGGGUAAUGGCCUACCAAGCCGACGAUCCAUAGCUGGUUUGAGAGGAUGAUCAGCCGCACUGGGACUGAGACACGGCCCAGACUCCUACGGGAGGCAGCAGUGGGGAAUCUUAGACAAUGGGGGCAACCCUGAUCUAGCCAUGCCGCGUGAGUGAUGAAGGCCUUAGGGUUGUAAAGCUCUUUCAGCUGGGAAGAUAAUGACGGUACCAGCAGAAGAAGCCCCGGCUAACUCCGUG